GAAUUGAAGAGUUUGAUCAUGGCUCAGAUUGAACGCUGGCGGCAGGCUUAACACAUGCAAGUCGAACGGUAGCAGGAGAAAGCUUGCUUUCUUGCUGACGAGUGGCGGACGGGUGAGUAAUGCUUGGGAAUCUGGCUUAUGGAGGGGGAUAACCAUUGGAAACGAUGGCU
rnacentral:rRNA from 1 species